GAAAGGCCGUUCAUCGUCGUGCGGCUGGAUGCAGAAAGCAUCCCAUUUAAG
rnacentral:ncRNA from 1 species